AAAAUAUCUUACGUGUAUUUUACGUAUUUCUUGAAAAAACCUGAAGAUCGACAUUUUAAAUAAACAUACAGUCUGCUGCUAAAGAUCUACACAAACAGCAGCCAUGGAGAAUAAAACAAAGCAAAUACAGAGAUUGGAGUCAACCUCUACAGAUGCUGCUAUAAUCAGCGUUCAAAACAAACUAAGAAAUCACGAGAGUACCAACACUUUUCUUCGAGGUUAAAAUAUUUAGCAAGU